GCCUAGAAUCCCAGCUGGGAGGGUGAGGGGCUGGAGGAAGGCCCACCUCACUUAACCCUUUCCCGGCCCCGGGAGAGAAGGACAGCUUGGAAGUGGACUCUCCUGGGGCAAGUGUGCAGCUGACCUUGGGGACAGGAGUGUCACUGCGGUGCCUAUGCACCUUCUCUGUCCUGGCUCAGCCGCAGAAACAGGAUUUCCUCCUCUCCCCCCAAAAGCUUCAGUGGACCAAAGAACAUCUGGCAUAUUAGCUUGAGGACCUCACAGGAAGAGUUUCCUGGAAGAUUCAGAAGUUACUGGGGAGGAAUGGAGAGAAAGCUUCAACUCAGCUGAAAAGAAAACAUCUGUGUCUUGAGGCUCUGGAACACGGCUGGGACUCAUUGUGAGGCACUGGGAUCAUUUAAUCAUGCUGAUACAAUCAUUGUAGCCAGAGGAUUAACCAAACCUGAACCGAUUGCUGUGGCUGAGGGAGUUCUGUUUGCCACCCCGGGGCACUUGUGCACUCCUGGAGACCAAAUGGAACCCAGUGAGCUGGGAGAGAGAGGAGUAGAGGGAAAGGUUUGUUGUGGUUUAUAUUUAGAUGUCCUCCCAAGGCCUCAUGAGCUCAUAGGUGGGGCUUUGAGGAGAUCAGAUUAUGUGGGUGUGAUACUAACCAGUGAGUUAAUCUACUGAUGAAUUUAUAGCUAAAUGUGAUGCUGGGAGGUGAAAUCUGGUUGCAGAAGGUGGGUUACUGGAGGCAUGACCUUGAGGGCUGCCCUCCCUCCUCUGUUAAUCUCUCUCCGCUCUCUGCUGCCAUGCUGGGAGCUCUGCUUCUCUUCCAUACCGCCGAGUUCUGCCACCCUCCCUUGGAGCCAGCCACCUGAAACCUCUACAUUCUGUGGGCCAAAAUAAACCUUUCCUCCUGAGA